ensembl:lncRNA
GUCUGACGUGCGUUGGCCCCCCAGAGAUGAAGACGCGUCCAUCCUGAGCAGGAUUUAUCUAUAAAUGCGACGCGCUGUGUCCGUGUUGCCGCGGAGCGCCAAGAUGCUUCUAAACGCCACCAUCCCUCUGUCGGUGAACUUCGACACCUGGGAGGACUACCUCAUCUUCACCUUCCACAUCCUGUUCGCCACGUGCGCCGUGCCGAUCGCCGCCUCGGUGGUCGUCGCCAUCUCUUGCACGCGCUCCCUGCGCGGCCAGAACCGUUUCAUCUUUAUGCUGAACACGAGCGUGAGCGACACGCUGACCGGCUUCUCGGUCUACUACCUCGGCCUCUUCGACGUCCAAGAGGGCUACCCGUCCAGAAACGGGACCUACUACAUCUUCCCCUCCUUCCUCGGAGUCAACGUGCUGACCUUCCUCUUCGCCCAGUUCGACCGCUACUUCGCCGUGUGCCACCCGUUCUUCUACAACCGCCACGUAACCCGAGCUGUGGUCAUCGGGAUCUGCGCCUUCUGCUGGAUCUACACGUAUUCCAUCCUCACCGUGCAGAACCUUGUGCCCAUCUCGAAGGCGGCGCAGAUCAACGCGUUCGGCGUGAUGACCCUCCAGAUCAUAGUUUUCGUCAAGGUGUUGAUGACGAUCAAGCUGUACAUCAUAGCCCGGAGCCACCUGGGGAGGGAGGUGCCCAGCCCGGAGCGCGACAACAAGAAGGAGUCGCUGCGCGUCAUCGUGUUCGUGGUCAUCUCCUUCCUGGCGCUGUGGUGUCCGUCCUUCAUCAACAUAAUAGUGAGGCAGCUGACGCAGAAAGGUAUGAGGUUCAGGAACGAGGCCACCAAUCUGUUCGCAAGUAUGGCCCGCCUGAACGCGCUCGUGACCCCGUCAGUGUACAUCUGGGGCAGCCCGGCGCUGCGGGGGGCCGUGUGGAGGACUGUGUGGCGGAGGGUGUUCUGCUGCCGCCGGAGGGCGAGAAUCGGCUUUCACUUGGACGGAGUGAGGAAACAUUGAUGAUGAAACAGCAUCAUGAGGAGAAAUUGUUGAAGAGAAUUACUCUCUCAUCUAUACCGGAUAUAGGUCAAACGAGAGAAUAACGAGGAGCAGGACGGCAGCGUUCUUCCACAGCAGGUUGUUCGUACUUCCAGGCCCGCGGUAUUGCGCUGCUUGUAGUUUUUGUGCCUAUCCUGUCUCUUAAACAAUGACAUUCAUUUUCAUUGUUAGUCAUUUACAAAAUCAAGUAUGUUAUGUCUGUAUGGUCAAUAUGAGGAUACUGUUCAAAAUGUUCAUGUAUAUUUAAUACGAGACAAGUCAUUUUUGUAUGCAUUAUCGAAUGGUUAGUCAUUGUG